rnacentral:rRNA from 1 species
ACCCUGGUGGCGAGUGGCGAACGGGUGAGUAACAUAUCGGAACGUGCCCUGGAGUGGGGGAUAACUAGUCGAAAGACUAGCUAAUACCGCAUACGAUCUACGGAUGAAAGUGGGGGACCGCAAGGCCUCAUGCUCGUGGAGCGGCCGAUAUCUGAUUAGCUAGUUGGUGGGGUAAAGGCCUACCAAGGCAUCGAUCAGUAGCUGGUCUGAGAGGACGACCAGCCACACUGGGACUGAGACACGGCCCAGACUCCUACGGGAGGCAGCAGUGGGGAAUUUUGGACAAUGGGCGCAAGCCUGAUCCAGCAAUGCCGCGUGAGUGAAGAAGGCCUUCGGGUUGUAAAGCUCUUUUGUCAGGGAAGAAACGGCGGGGACUAAUAUUUCCUGCUAAUGACGGUACCUGAAGAAUAAGCACCGGCUAACUACGUGCCAGCAGCCGCGGUAAUACGUAGGGUGCAAGCGUUAAUCGGAAUUACUGGGCGUAAAGCGUGCGCAGGCGGUUGUGUAAGUUUGACGUGAAAUCCCCGGGCUUAACCUGGGAAUGGCGUU